rnacentral:rRNA from 1 species
UACGGGGGGAGCAAGCGUUGUUCGGAUUUACUGGGCGUAAAGGGCGCGUAGGCGGUCAGCACAAGUCAGUUGUGAAAUCUCCGGGCUUAACUCGGAAAGGUCAACCGAUACUGUGCGACUAGAGUGCAGAAGGGGCAACUGGAAUUCUCGGUGUAGCGGUGAAAUGCGUAGAUAUCGAGAGGAACACCUGCGGCGAAGGCGGGUUGCUGGGCUGACACUGACGCUGAGGCGCGAAAGCCAGGGGAGCGAACGGG